GGGUACGGGAUUGCUUAUUGCACCACAUGUGUUUUUCUUUGAAACAAACUUGCUUUGGCGGUGGGCCCAGCCUGCCGCCAGAGGUCUAAACUUACAACCAAUUUUUUAUCAACUUGUCACACCAGAUUAUUACUAAUAGUCAAAACUUUCAACAACGGAUCUCUUGGUUCUCGCAUCGAUGAAGAACGCAGCGAAAUGCGAUACGUAAUAUGAAUUGCAGAUAUUCGUGAAUCAUCGAAUCUUUGAACGCACAUUGCGCCCUCUGGUAUUCCGGAGGGCAUGCCUGUUUGAGCGUCGUUUCUCCCUCAAACCGCUGGGUUUGGUGUUGAGCAAUACGACUUGGGUUUGCUUGAAAGACGGUAGUGGUAAGGCGGGAUCGCUUUGACAAUGGCUUAGGUCUAACCAAAAACAUUGUUUGCGGCGGUAACGUCCACCACGUAUAUCUUCAAACUUUGACCUCAAAUCAGGUAGGACUACCCGCUGAACUUAAGCAUAUCAAUAAGCGGAGGAA
rnacentral:rRNA from 1 species